rnacentral:rRNA from 1 species
GUCUACGGCCAUACCACCUUGAAGACGCCCGAUCUCGUCUGAUCUCAGAAACUAAGCAGGGUCGGGCCUGGUUAGUACUUGGAUGGGAGACUGCCCAGGAAUACCGGGUGCUGUAGGCU